rnacentral:rRNA from 1 species
UAUUAAAGGCAACGCCUGCCCAGUGAACAAUUAAACGGCCGCGGUAUCCUAACCGUGCAAAGGUAGCAUAAUCAUUUGUCUAUUAAUUGUAGACCCGUAUGAAAGGCAAAAUGAGAGCCUAACUGUCUCUUAUAACAAAUCAAUUAAACUGAUCUCCCAGUACAAAAGCUGGGAUACCCACAUAAGACCAGAAGACCCUGUGAAGCUUUAACUAACCUAUUAAACCACAUAAUAACUAGUUUCGGUUGGGGCGACCUUGGAAUAAAAAAGAACUUCCAAAAAAGACCCAGAACUUCUGAUACAUGGACCAAGUUACUCCAGGGAUAACAGCGCUAUCUUCUUUAAGAGCCCAUAUCAAAAAGAAGGUUUACGACCUCGAUGUUGGAUCAGGACAUCCUAGCAAUGCAACAGUUACUAAGGGUUCGUUUGUUCAACGAUUAAUAGUCCUACGUGA